GGGCGUGAGGGCGAUCUGGCUGCGACAUCUGUCACCCCAUGAUCACCAGGAUUGAUUCCCCUUCCUCCUUCACUGCUCCAAGUGCAUCCCUCCUGAAGCUUCAUGCUUGGUCGAAGAGGACGGCCUUCCCUGAAUAGAGACGAACCGGUCUUCAGGUGUUCGGUUGAGGGUAUAUGAGUAGGGAGUAUGCACUCCCUUGCUAGAACCUCCAAACAAACUCUCAAGGUCCAUCUUUCCUCCUCCUCUUUCUGAUCCUCAGCAGGCUUCAUUAGUCUGGGAUGA
rnacentral:sRNA from 1 species